GGGUCUCAAGUGCAGAGCUGACCCCAAGCCUGUGUUUGCAGCUCCUCUGGGUCGCUGGCUGUGCUGAUAUUCCCAGGGCUGAGAUGAAGAUGCAGGCUUCGCACAGAGGCUGGAAGAGGCUAUAUCCAUAUAACUGUAGAAUCACAGAAUUUUUUGGGUUGGAAGGGACCUUUCAGGUCACCUGGCUCAACCCCCUGCCACGAGCAGAGACAUCUUUCACUAGGUCAUGUUGCCCAGAGCCCCAUCCAACCCAGCUUUGAACAAUUCCAGUGAUGGGGCAUCCACAGGGUAGCCGGUUCCAGUGUCUCACCGCACUCACCGUAAAUGUGUGCCCCUGGGUAAUUCAUACUGCUGGGAGUAGAGGGUGGAGAAAAUGAGUGGUGGUGUUUUUUUCUUUCGUUCUGUCACUGGUGAAUGUCUUGAUAUGUGAAUCAAGCUCAAAUCACCAGGUGUUCAUGAGGUCUUCAGCACCCUUCAGCCACUGUCAAGCAUUAGAUCUGAUCAAAGGUUGGGGUUAAGGGGUGCUUUUUUUCCUUCUACCUCUGCCUGGGUAGAAAGGCAUAUUGUUGUGUGCCAGAGGGCGGGACAGCAAAUGUGCACCUUGUGCAGUACCUGUCUGGAUAGGACACCUCAGGGUAUUGUAAUUCAAAGGUUAGCCAUACUGCUUUGCAUAUCUUUCUCACCUCCUGGUAGGACUUGCCAUGGUGUUUCACUAAGGAGCAUCUUUUAUUUCUCUGUGGUCUGUCCUAGUUACACCAUAGUUUGUGAGUGCAUUGGGAGCUGUUGGCUCUAUUGCUUGUGGUCUCCUAACAUUUGAAACUUGCUUUUCCCAGGCUUGCCUUUUACUCUAGCGUUUUGUAUACACAGAGGAGCUCAGACAGGCUAUUCUUUGGGAUCAUGUGUCACCUCAUCAAUGCCAGCUGAUCCAAGCUCCUCAAGACUCACGGGAUACCUAAGGAUGGACAGCGGGAACUUGGUCUCCAAAGGCCACCUCACGUCUUCUGCAUUGGUCCAGCAGAAGCCGGUCCAGCUUUCACAUUUAUAGGCAAACUGUGAAAGCUUACUGAUCUGUCAGGACUUCAAGAAAUCAUGGGGCUAGGAAGUGUGCAUAAAAGAUUUUGUGAAAUCUGGUAUUUAAAUCUCCCGCUCAAGUGAUGAUGAGAAGAGCUGGCAAUGUAAUAUUGGCUUAUCAGCAACCAUGUGGGUAGGUCAGCUAAAGAAAAAUUUUGUGUGAACAGCACCAGAGGUUUAGAAGAGAACCAAGUGUCUUGUCAGGUACAGGGUUAUAAACCUAGUCUAAAUUUAUUUUCCUUAAAAAAAAAAUAUUUAAGUAAUAAAUGACAUUCAUCGUAGUCAGGGGAAGAUGAAGGACAGCUAGGCAAACCAAGCAGGUCUCUGAGUAAAACAGGGACUAGAUACUUUGAAUUAUUUUUCUACCAUUAAUAAUUCUGAACUAAGCACUGCAAAUUAAUGUACUUGUCAUCUCUGCUUUCAUGAAUUCAAAUAAUUUGGUUUGCGGAUAGGUCUUUUGACAAUGCUGUGUUCAGGAGUUCUUUUGAGCUUGCUUAAAAAAAAAAAAAAAAAAAAAAAAGGUGUCUUUCAAGCUUCAUCUGUCAAUAAAAGUCCUGUUAAUUGAGUCCUUGCAGGUCUCUGCAAGGGCAUAUGUAACUUAUUUUGUCCAAUGAAAGUCUCUAAUUGGUGGGUUAAAGUAAUUAAAAAAGAAUCAGUUAGCAGUCACUCUACUUUUAAAGAUGGACUUUAUGUGGUCAUAAAGUAAAAAUCCUUGCUUUGUUAUGGAAAUUAAAGCAUAUCAGUUUAAUUGCACUAGGUACAGCACACUGGAGUGCAGAAAGGACACAUUUUAUAAGUGAUUAUCUUGUGAUAAAAUAUUACAUAGUGCAACAAAUGGUGGCACUGUGAGAUCCAGAAAGCAUCUUGAGACCAGAGUUGUUGAGCUAUUGUAGAGGAGAUGGGAUGGAAUCAUUUGCAGGUGGUCAUUGUCUGUCCUCACCUCUGUACUGGCUUCUUCAUCUUUUAUUUUAGGAAAUUUGACUUGUAACUGGACAGGACCAAAGGGGCAAUUUAUAAUUUUGGAGAAGACUUGUUUGAGGAGUUGUUCUCUGCAUGUUGAAGAGCUGCCUUCAGAAGUUGGGGAGAUGGCUUUGGAAGGUUUGAAUGGCAGAGGAUUUAAUGGUGGGAAAUACGGGCUCAGCUCCUGAUGAUUAUGUGGUCCAACUGAUGAGUGGAAAAAAACAGAUCCAGGAAGAUAUCAGAGUGCCUGGGGCAGUCCUGGGGCUGUCAUCUUUGAAUAUGAAAGAAGUUGAAAUACUUGAGAAUCCAAAUUUGGUUGUCUGGGAAGAAGACAGCAUAUAGGACAUGGUGGUACCUCUAUCCAAAAGUUUUUAUGUGUACCUGAGAAAAUAAUAGAAAGGGAAUGAUAAAUAGAUGAAUUCUCAUUACUUUGUAGUGUAGGCUGUUUUUCACUUCAGCUGUAGUGGAACUAGACUGAUGGCACAGAAAGUGGACAGGGUUUUGGGAGGACCGAUUAAACUAGCGCUGAUGGAAGGCUGAGGCUCUUGGCGGCUGAGGUGAGGUGCUGAGCAGGAACACCAGUAACGUGUGACCAUUUCAACUGGAGGGCAGGGGGUGAGUUUCAGUGCACACAUGGUAUGAGGAACUCGAGAGCAGAGCUGUGUAGGCUGGAAGAGCAACCAGAUGUUGGACUGAAAAUUUGAAAGAGAAAUAGGCAUGUGGUCAAAACAAGGAAGAAGUCUGUAUACCAGUGUGGAAACGUGAAAUAAAAAUAGUCAUAGUAGACUGCCUGGCAGUUUUAAAAGACCCUGAUAUAGCUAGCUUAAUUGUAAUGUGGUGGGGGGAUGAUAAUGAAAAUCAGUAAAUACUGUACUACCUGCCAUCAAACUAUACAGGAUAGGCAUGCUUGGUCAUAAAAUUGUGUAAGAGCACUAGAUUUAAAAGUUCCCAUAAAGUCUGAGAGAAAAUUGGAAUAGUGAUGACCACACAGUCAAAUCUGUGUUGGAGAUAAAUCCCCCAUUUUAAUGAAAUAGGGGUAUUCAGACAUUUUCUAUUCCAGACAAGAAAAAGGUUAUGGAUUUCAUGGGUCUUCAGGGAAAACCAGGUUCAUACAUCUUCAUAAACCUGUUGGAAAAAGUAAAUUCAUUUAUGUCCAUGCUAUCUGGCCAGAUCUUGGAAGGAGCUGGCUAACAUUUUGGUGAACAAACAUUUUGAUUUACUUAAAGUAUCAUUUAUUGUAACAGCCUGUUGUAGAGUUAGCCUUGAUUUAGGACUAAAAUGCAAGAACAGGUUCAAGAUAUAAUUACAGCUGAGUCAUUAAAUAGCAGUGACCACAGUACAAUUACAGGUUCAGCAUCCUCAGGGGUGGAAGAUUCUUUACUAAAAAUGAGUCUUGUGUUAUAAAACAUUGCAGAGAAUAUCAGAAAAGUAAAAUUCUUAGUUACACAGACUUGUCAUGAAGGAGCUUCGGAAGUGUAAAGCAAUCCAGUAAAAUAGUUACACAGGAAGGGACUUCUGGAGCCCAGCAACGCUCUUUAAAGGAAAGAGGUCCAACUCUAACAAAGUGGACUGAAAGAGCCAUGUAAUAUUUCAUAGUGGGUAAUUUGUGAUCUGGAAAUUAAACAGUGUAGGAGGGGCUUUGAAGAACUGGAAGCCUUAGGGAACAAAUGUUAUUUUAAGUCUAUCAGAGAGAAGGCUGGGGAGAAAACUGGAGCAUGCAGGACUUCACACUGGUAAUUUUCUGCACUACUUCAUAUUACUUAAGUGACCUCUCAGCUUUGUUCUGGAGCACAGGGCAUAUUGGAGAGCCCAGCUAUCUGUAAUCUGGUCCUUUUGGGUGAGCCUCUCUCUGAAACUCAAUCAUUUGAGGCAAAGAUUAUGGAGCAAACUAAGUGUAAGUGGAGGAGCAACAAGUGUACCUGUACAGAAGUUUUAAAAGACCCGGAGUCUGAGACACUAAAGUUACUAGCAAAAAUAGGGACUGUUGAAAAAAAUAGCUUGGUAUUUUCCAUAAUUAGAUAACAGAUUAUUAUUAUUUUUAAUUAAAAUGUUAAGCAGGGCACUGGGAAUUGCAUAUCUGCAGUUUGAGAAGGGGUAGCUGAACUAGUAUCACACUUUGUGUGUGAUAAGUUGAAAGCAACGUACUUUCUGCAAGGAAAGAUCUUUGAACACAUUGGCAAACAUCAGGAGGCAGAGGAUCAUCUGAUUUUUAUUUGGAUGUUUUAAAAGUUUUUGGUUGAGUCCUCUCAAUAAGGUAUUAAAAAUUAUGUUUGGAACAAGAAGAGAAAUAUCAUGGAUGCCUUCUUUUCCUACAACUGAUGCUGAUCACUUGGACAGUACAAGGUAGAAAGAAGUCUAGUUUGAGAUGGACACUGAAGGUUUCCUGGGCUUGGAGGCGGGUCUACUUCUUGAGUAGGUCUGCAGCCUUUGAGCAAGCAGGUUUCCUCUGGAAAAUGCCAAUUCACCAAAAACAAUGUUGCAGGGUAGAGAAGGGUAGGUUUUCCUCUGGACUUUUCUGGUGAGCACAUCUAGGUAGAAGUCUGGUUGGCCAAAGAAGAGACACAAGCGCAGAAUACUUAGCAGCAUGACAUCUAGAUUCUACCCCAGUGAAGGCCCCAGUUUAAAUCUACCCUGAGCUCAGUUUGCAGGCCUGCCACAUCCCAUAGCAUGCCUCAGCAACGAACAGGGCUGGAUGCAUUCAGUUUUAUUUUGUUUUUAACAACAACAAAAAACUAAUAUGUGUCGAUUUUGACAAUGGGCAGAAAGGCUAGGUGAGGGGAGACAGGUCUACAGGUCUCAUCUAGCUCCAUGCUUGAGGUUGUCCGUGUUACGUAUGCAUGUGUGAGUCCUAUGCUGUCUCACUCCCAAGGGACCCAGGAGGAACUGUAAUGAGCUGGUGUGGGCUAGAGCAACCCUUUGCUGCUCCACCUUAGUUUAAGGCUUCUUAAAUGUCUAAAGGUCACAGUGAAUCCUCUUGCUUUUACUGCCUUCCCUGUCUUCAGUAAGUCAUGGCAAGUGCUGUGCUAAGUCAAUGGGUGUUGUGAUAGGAGCCAGUUAACAGCAGGCUUACCUCCAGGCCUUCUGUUAAAAGUACUAUUUAAAGGUAUGAAUUGGUGAUGGAAAGCAUGGAGAGGUUGGUUCAUACCAGUGAAGUGGCUGGCACUGCAACUGGACGACGGCAGGGAGAGCUCAGAGGGACAUGCCUGCACCAAAGCUGGGUGCAAGCAGUAUGCGGCAGCGGGGACUGCCCUCUGCAAUGCAAGGCAAUAGACAGAGGAAAAAAAAAUAAUGCUCCAACAAUAUUGUUGGGCUUUAAAUGAUUUGCUCAUUUGGGAAGAAGAGUGUCUUUCCCUUAGCAUCUGAUUUUGGGUAGCAAAAGUAAAUGAACCAAAGGUGCAUAAAGUGCCAUAGAAAAUAACUAUGUUUUACAGACUUACGUGCUAAGAUCUUAGAGGCUGCUGUGUUUGAACUCGUAGGUAAAACAGUUUGUUAGAUUUCCAAGAUGUUCCUCAGCUGUUUUCCCUUGGUAAGCUGGCAGUUGUCACUGACACAACCUUUGUUCCCCUCCGCUAGAAAUACCAGUUUCAUUGUAUUGCUCAAUUCUAGUGAAAUGCUAUCAGCUGACUUUGAAGUACACAGUAUAAAAAUGUUGUAGUAUGCUUGCAUGAUAGCUAUUUGAUGUAAGAAAAUGCAAAAUCUCUCGUGCUCUCUUUUUAGGAAUUUGGGCUUUGAGUUUCAUUGGGGAGUGCUGUAUGUACCCAACUGCAUGGGAUUAGGCCCACCUUUUAAAAAAUGUAUUUCACAUCUGAGAUUAGAAAUGUUCCAGAAGACAAAUCACAAGAAAAAAUUGUCUGUUCCAUGCUCAGAUGGUAUUAGUGACUUGUACUAAAGGCUGUCCAUCCACACAGAAAACUGCACGGCUGCUUCUGUUUUAACUGCUGUCAAAGGUCUAGUGUUUUGGUAGUAGUAUUUUUUCUAAAUGUACUGAAUAUACUUGCCUUUAAAUCCUUCUAGGUACAGAUAAUUAUCAUUGGUAUUCUAUAAAUUAGCUCUAUACUAGCAUUCACAUUGGACUAGGCGUAAUAUUCUAGGCCAAAUAUUUUCAAGUCAAAGAGGACUUGAAAAAGGAAAACAAACUUAUAACCUUUCAUGUGGUUCUGCCCCACAUAGCGGUGGGCUGGUUUAUUUGUGGAAGUAUCAGCAGUGCUACAUUGGUCUUCCCUGUUUUACUUUCUGUGAUUCUCUGCAGGAGAGCCCAAAUGGGUAGACUGGAAGCCCACUCUGCUUUUAGUUGGAAGUUUUUAACUGCAAGAUACAGAUUUAUAUUUUUCCGUCCUUUGGAGACACUGAGAUAUUGUCAUGAUGAGGUCCAUGGAAAUACUUAGAUAAACUAGGCCAUAACAAAGAUAAUGCACCUUUUCCAUUUUUUUUUUUAUUUUGCUGUCAAUCAGUUAUCUGAGCUUUUUUCAAUGUAAAAUGUUAAACUGUUUGAAAAAUCACUCAUCUGUUGGAUACUACUCCUUCCUAUACCAUAAAUCCAGCUAGGCCUGAUUAUUUGUAGUCUUCCAGAAAAGGUAGACAGGAUAUCAAUUCCCAGAAUCAAAAACUGUCCACAGUGAGGGAAGGAAACCCUUAUUGUAAAAGCAGCACCCCCUGGGCCCACCUUGGGCACUCUGGGUUACCCGUACCCCCGCUCCUCUGUUCGGGGUGACCUCUCGGUGCAGCGCAGGGCUGGGUGAGGUGGAGGCCGGCCGAGCUGUUUGUUGCAGGGUGGGACAGAGGUCCUGUCCCACAGCAGUGCCCUGCUCAUGCAGAAAGCUCACCGUGCUGGGGCUGGGCUAUCGGGCGGCUUCUGGCAGGCUCUGUGCUCCAGGCACGGGCAGGCCCAGGGCUACCGCACUGCCUCACGCCAGGCCUGCACCAGCGCUGCGCCUAGCAUACAUCCGACCUUUCGGUCCCAGGGAAGGUAAAUCAGGACUUUUUCGGGUCAAGAAAAUACAACAAAAGUGGCACCAAGUCUCUGGAGAGUGGUGUUUCCCUGUGGUAGUGACAGCCGCUCACACCUGCUUCUUUUCAACCAUGACCCAUGGUUCAGUUCUGCUGGGUUUUUAGCCAUCUUGACCUCAUGUUUGCAAAUAUUAUUGGUAAUAUAAUGCUAUAUGUACAAUUGUCUGUGUGGCUCAUGUAUGUUUCUGUGGUUCAAAUCAGCCACAGAAUUCUGGAAUUUCAUUGUACUUUGGUUAAAUGUUGGACUUUUAACUCUUCUGUAUGACUUCUUGAUUUCUCUUGUCCAAUGUGGACCAACUCUAUUUUUGGAAAUAAAUAAGCAUGUAAAUAAAAUGAAUGGGUUUAUGCCACUUACAAGAAAAUGCUUUAUUUGAAAUAUACACUCAGCCUUGUAUAUUUUAUGGUAUCUCAGGGAACGGAUGACCUGUGAAAGAUUAGGGGCUGAGGUGAAAGCAGCCUUCGUGGUGAGAUACCAUAUUAUGUACAAAUUCAUUUCCAAGUGGUUUUAGUCUCCCGAGCUGCCAAACACUGUAGGGCUGUGGGGUGAACAGCAGUCUCAUGGAGGAGGGGGGAAGUCCAGAAAGCGGCACGUAGUUUGAGAGGAGUAAAGAAAAGAGACCUGGCUUUGCGGUACACACACGGCUUCUGGUUUGAGGUGUCCAUGUCAACAGUCGCCACCAAGUGCAGGGGGUCCAGGGCCAGCUCUUGGCCUCUGCCCGCAACACAGUCCCAUGGCACAUCCCAGUGGCGCCGGGCGCGUGGAGAGCAGGAGCACAAUGACGUUUUUUUCUUCUCCAUAUAAACCAAUAUUUACCAGUAAUCCUGUGUUUCUGUUUUUGUUUUUUGGCAGACUUUUACCAGUAAAUAUCGGUUUAUUCCUGAAACCAGAAGCCCUAAACAUACCUUUGUUUAUAAGUUUUCCUGCUCUGCAACUCUGGAAAUGGAGCCCACAAGACCUAGAACCUUCGCUUGCCUGUGUGGUUCUGAUUGCUGGCAGUUCUGUAAUACAACUUUAAUCUGAGCAGUUGAGGCUGGUCCCACCUUAUCUUCAGACGUCUUGCGGAGGACUCCUGUUACCAGUUUGGUACUCAAAAGCUACACCCCACCAUGAGAAGUCACUUAUUUUUUAAAAGGCAGUGAUAGAUUACCCUCUCUAGCUCUAAUGGGAAAAUUAUAUUGCAAUGCAACUUUAUAAUAAAUUGUUCAUAUAUUCAUAAUUCUGUGGCAAUCCCAAAUUGGAGAACAGAUCUGUUAAAGGUAUAUAUUAGUCUAGAUUUUUUCUUAUUGUAAAUACUGUAAUUUUAUAAUACUGUCAAUAUUUUAUUAACUUAGAAAUAUUUAACAGAGUUUAAUCUAUGGUAGUUGAUUUAUUUAUAGGUUUAUGUUGCAGCCAAUAUUGAAUUGCAUUCUAAUGUAAGAUUAACUUUAAGUAUGUAUACGUUGAUUUAAUAUAUCAUUGGAAAGAUUAAGAAUAGAGAAAAUUCUCACUCUUUAUCUGUAAUAUUUAUCCCUGAUUCCUGGCUCAGAAUUCUUUAAUGAAAUAUUACAAGCUUUCAAAAGCUCAUGAAGAUAACAACUGAAGUUGGAUCAUGUAAUUUGAAAACUUGAAUUUUGAAAUGUACCUGGCUUUUUCGCCCUGUUUGUAGUGAACACAAUUGCUUCAAUAUCUAAUCUAUAUAGUACAGAAGUCUUUAUUUUGAGCAAAGGGACACUCUCAGAUCAAUUUUUGCUUCUUGUUUCAUGAAGAAGAAGAAAAAAAAAAAAAAAAAAAAAAAAAGCAAAACUCACCCAGUGCUUGUGUGUUAAUUCCUUCUUAAUCACAAGGUAAAAUUCCUUUUUUUGUUGGAUUAUUUGGCUCAAAGCAUUCCCAGAGCACCUGCAUCCCGGAGCCAUGCGGCCCGGCAUGGAGAUGCAGGCAGCCAGCAGGACCCUGCCCCAGCACGCAGGGGUCCCUCCAGCCCAGGUGGAGGCUUGGUGCCAUCCUUGCCACAUGCACAGCAGUGCAGCCGGGGCCUUGCAGUGGACAGGUUUGGUCUCCGGCACUGGUUAUAAUCUUAGCUUGGCAAGGUGGGUAAAAGUGCACUAAGUGUCUAAACCUUGCCCUUUUUCAAUCAAAGUUUCUCUUCGCAUUUUUUUUUCCCAUGUAUAUAUAUUUUAGCCUGAUAGUGUCCCUUUGUCUGUAUAAAGAUGUUCACAUUCUCUGAAAAAUAAGUACAAGUUAUUUUCUUUUUAAGACAGGGGGGAAUUCAUCUGUAAUAUGUUUGCAACAUAACAUGCAUAAAGAUACCAAAAAUAUAUCAAGGGUUUCAUGGGAGGUUUUUGUUUGUUUGUUUGUUGUUUGUUUGUUUGUUUUUGAGUAUAAAAGUUAAUCUUUAUUAGAGAUGUGCCAAUCUAUACUGCUUUAUUGUAGUGUUGUUAUAUUUAGGCAUUUCAGUUAACUUACAAAUAUAUACUGUAACAGUAUACUUUGUACAGAUUUAUUUAAAAAUUAUUUGAAAACUGAAAUAAAUUAGGCAGAAAAUAAAGAUAUUUAUUUUUCAUUUGACUAUGUAAGAAGGUAUCAUUUUUUUGAUUUUAGUGCACUGGUGUACCAAGCCUCAGAACCACUGCUUUCUUCAGUUCAUAGGAUGCUUUUCAGAGACUGUGGAUAUGUGUAUGUGUACUGUUAUAUUUACAAGUAAAUGCCAACAAUGGAGUUCAUUGCUUUUAUACAUCCCAAAGAGAAGUUCUCCACCGUUUAUUUUCUGUUUUCUGACCGAAAAGGCAUGUGCUUUUGAACAGUGUCGUUGAAAGUUCUGCCAUCCCACUUUCACAUCAGCUUAUGCCAAUACCAGGAUGGGAGGAUUUGCCUGCGUACCUUUCCUAAUACACCACAUUCACCAGUGGCAUCGGCAGGGAGCAGUUCAAACGUGUGUCCUUUGGGUUUUAUGUAAAGCAAAUGCAGAACAAGAAAAAUCAAGAUGUUAAAUUCAUUAGAAAACAAAUUCCUUAUUGUACAGUAGUAUGGAAAUCUCUAGUCAACAUGCCAUUAAUAAUAGAUUCUUAUUUUUGAAUGAUCUAUUUAAAAGAACAGCAAGCAUUGUAUUUGCUAGUAAAUCUGAAGUGUUUACAUGGAACUACUAAAUAAAUUAUUUGAUCUAA